rnacentral:misc_RNA from 1 species
UUUCCGUAGGUGAACCUGCGGAAGGAUCAUUCAUAAUAAGUGUUUUAUGGCACUUUUUUAAAUCCAUAUCCACCUUGUGUGCAAUGUCAGGGUUGAUUUUUCUCUCGAGAGGAUCAUCCCCAAACAUCAACUAUAUCUCAACUCUUUGUCUGAAAAAUAUUAUGAAUAAAACAAUUCAAAAUACAACUUUCAACAACGGAUCUCUUGGCUCUC